rnacentral:rRNA from 1 species
AUUGAACGCUGGCGGCAGGCCUAACACAUGCAAGUCGAACGGUAGCACAGAGAGCUUGCUCUCGGGUGACGAGUGGCGGACGGGUGAGUAACGUCUGGGAAACUGCCCGAUGGAGGGGGAUAACUACUGGAAACGGUAGCUAAUACCGCAUAACGUCGCAAGACCAAAGUGGGGGACCUUCGGGCCUCACACCAUCGGAUGUGCCCAGAUGGGAUUAGCUAGUAGGUGGGGUAAUGGCUCACCUAGGCGACGAUCCCUAGCUGGUCUGAGAGGAUGACCAGCCACACUGGAACUGAGACACGGUCCAGGCUCCUACGGGAGGCAGCAGUGGGGAAUAUUGCACAAUGGGCGCAAGCCUGAUGCAGCCAUGCCGCGUGUAUGAAGAAGGCCUUCGGGUUGUAAAGUACUUUCAGCGGGGAGGAAGGCGGUGAAGUUAAUAACUUCACCGAUUGACGUUACCCGCAGAAGAAGCACCGGCUAACUCCGUGCCAGCCGCCGCCGUAACAC